rnacentral:rRNA from 1 species
CUACGGGGUGCUGCAGUGAGGAAUAUUGCACAAUGGGGGGAACCCUGAUGCAGCAACGCCGCGUGGAGGAUGACGCAUUUCGGUGUGUAAACUCCUUUUAUAUGUCAAGAAAAUGACGGUAGCAUAUGAAUAAGCACCGGCUAACUCCGUGCCAGCAGCCGCGGUAAUACGGAGGGUGCAAGCGUUACUCGGAAUCACUGGGCGUAAAGGACGCGUAGGCGGGUUGGAAAGUCAGGUGUGAAAUCCUACAGCUUAACUGUAGAACUGCACUUGAAACUUCUAAUCUAGAGUAUGGAGGGGGAGAUGGAAUUAGUGGUGUAGGGGUAAAAUCCGUAGAUAUCACUAGGAAUACCUAAAGCGAAGGCGAUCUCCUGGAACAUUACUGACGCUAAGGCGUGAAAGCGUGGGGAGCAAACAGGAUUAGAUACCCCUGUAGUC